CAGAUGCUUGGAACUAAAAAUGACAUGAAGAAUCACCUGAAAACUAUCAAAUGUUGUUCAGAUGUGUUCUUCGAGUGUGCACUCAACCAAGAAUUCUUUCUAUUAAUGUUUCCAUCAAGAGACCCGUCAACGUACUAGGACUUCGAAGGUCUUGUUCUCAGAUUCAUGAUCACCAUGUCUGAAACAAGAGGGCACAGAAGUGAAGGCAGGGGGGAGAGUCAACGUUGGUCUUGGUCUAAUGACUCUAAUGAGUAGGGGUGGACUUGGGACUUUUGAUUAGAGUGAUACAUUAGUUUCAUUGUCAUUAGACAAUUGUAGAAUCUGAAAAGAAAGAGACUCUCAUACAAAUAAUAAGAAUCAAGGAAAUUGAUACA